rnacentral:ncRNA from 1 species
UAGUCUGCCAUACGCAGGAAGACCCGCUGAACUGAAGCAUCUCAUUAAGCGGAGGAAAAGAAACUAACUAGGAUUCCCUUAGUAAAGGCGAUCGAAAAGGGAACAGCCCAACGUCUUAAUCCCGCAAGGGAAAUGUAGUCGGUUCACCUAUUGCACUGGUCUAAGUCAGAUGGAAUGCUGCGCGAUUCAGAGUAAAAGCCUCGUAUGACCAACCGCAAGCUUACGAUGGACCGGGGAGAGUCGGAUACUUUGAGAGUAGUGUCUUAAGGGGGUGGUAUGUCCCAUCCAAGGCUAAAUAACGUGAGGAGACCGAUAGAUUACAAGUAGUGUGAACGAAAGAUGAAAAGAACUCUAAAACAGAGGGUGAAAAGUUCCUGAACUUGCUUAGGGUUAAGGCUAUUUAUAGUACCCGUCUUGAAACACGGAUUAGGGAGUUUAUCUGUAGUGCGAGUCUUUGCACGUUAACUGUAAAGGCGUAGAGAAAGCAACUGGCGUUUGCAUGGCUACUGAGCAUUACUGAUAGGACCCGAAAGGUGGUGAACUUUGCCUGCACAGGUUGAAGUCAGGGGAAACUCUGAUGGAGGACCGUACGGGUUAUUGAUGUGCAAAUCCUUUUUCUGAU